rnacentral:lncRNA from 13 species
UAAGUGUUUGAGAUAGAAAAAUAGACAUUCCAAUGGUUUUGUGUAUCUAGUUAUAUAGUAACAGCUACCAUAUAAUUAAGUUCCUGAUGUAUGCCAGGACCAUUCAAAGUACUGAACAAACAUAUCAUUUAAUUUCCUCAACAACCCUGAGAGAUCUGUGGUAUUGUACCCAUUAUUUUAGAUAAAGAAACUGAUAGUCAUAAAAAGUACAACCACUUUCCUAUUUGACUUCAACUGUUAAUUAUUUAAUUCGCUAUAGCCAUAUUAGAAAUAAUUGGGAUAACAAAGAUCUCUUAAUAGGAGGCACUGGAGCUGAUAAUGCUAAUAUCCAGAGAAAAGAAUCUGAUUAUCUUGGAAAGAGGUAUCUUCAGAGGCUAUUAACAUACAGCACUCUGUACUGACUUAUGCUUUACUUGGGGAAAAUUCAAAUUAAACUUGAUUGUCUCUUCUGCUGCUUCUUUUCUCCAUAUUAAUAGUUUAAUCUGCAUAGUGGGUGUUGGAUGUGCACCUUACGGCUGUUUAUAGCAAUUGGUGAAGUACUUAACAUUUUAAAGAAAUUAACUGUCUGGUGAAGAGGACUCCAGAGGACAGAAGAGCAAGAUAUAGACAGGAUGUCUGAUAAUUCUGGCAUUCUGGAAGAAGGAGGAUAAAUGGAGUCGCUUUCUCCUGGUUCUCCUCCAGACUUGCUGACUUCUCUCAUUUUUGGCUAUUGUUUCUUUUUUUUCUAAUUCCCUAAAUGUAGACAUACCCAAAGCUUAUCCUUGGCCAUCUCUUCCUCCAGUGCUGUGUUUCCUCCAUGGGGUAUUUCAUCCAUCUUGUGUCUCAGGAGGCAAGGCACCCUCUUCCCCCAAAAUAACCCUGUGGUUAUCUCAUCGACCUUCUUCAAGCAUGUGCCCAAUGCCCUAUUCUCGAUGGGGUCUUGCUCUGUUGUCACCCAGGCUGGAGUGCAGUGGUGUGAUCUCGGCUCACUGCAACUUCCACCUCCCGGGUUCAAGUGAUUCUCCUGCCUCAGCCUCCUGAGUACCUGGGACUACAGGCAUGUGCCGCGAUACCCAGUUAAUUUUUUGUAUUUUUAGUAGAUAUAGGGUUUUGCCGUGUUGGUUAGCCUGCUCUUGAACUCCUGACCUCAGGUGAUCCACCAGCCUUGGCCUCCCAAAGUGCCGGGAUUACAGGUGUCCACUACCAGUCCUGACCAAUUCUACUGUUUUGGAGAAUAUAUUUUAUAAAAAAUAAAUAAAAUAUUUCUGAUGAAAAUUAGCUUCUA